rnacentral:rRNA from 1 species
GACAGAGGGUGCAAACGUUGUUCGGAAUUACUGGGCGUAAAGCACGUGUAGGCGGCUAUGUAAGUCGGGCGUGAAAUCCCACGGCUCAACCGUGGAAGUGCACCCGAAACUGCGUAGCUAGAGUCCUGGAGAGGAAGGUGGAAUGCUUGGUGUAGAGGUGAAAUUCGUAGAUAUCAAGCGGAACACCGGUGGCGAAGGCGGCCUUCUGGACAGUGACUGACGCUGAGACGCGAAAGCGUGGGGAGCAAACAGG